GUGUGUGUCAGGCUGUCUGAAGAGGCAGUUGGUUGACCUACUGGCAGAUGGCUACGCUCCUGAAGACCUCGAUGCCCAGCCAGCUAUCACUGUGGGAGACUGGUGAGCCACACUUUCUCUGACUACGGUCCCGGCCUGCGCUUCAUCUCGUUUGAACACAGAGGACAGGACACAAAGUACUGGGACGGCUGGAUUGGAAUCAGAGUCAGCUCUGUUAUUGUAGAGGCCUGAGAGAGGAAGUGGCGGGAGGUAUGGAGAGGAAGGGAGAUGAGGAGAGGGAGGGAAGGAGAGAGGAGAAAUACAGGGUGGGAGUAAAGCAGUAUAAAAAGGAGAACAAAUAACAAGAGAAAGGAGUUGAAGGGGACCAGAAAUGCCCAGUGCACCAUCCUUACAUACAGUAGCAGUGGGUGGAUCAAAAAAAUCAAGCAUAUUAUACAGUAGUAUCUACUAAAUAGCUGCUUUGGAAACGUAUGCAACCGGGAAAGACCUGCAAGCUUGGACCCUUAAUGUUCAAUAACACCGUAGCAAACCAUUACAGUAUACAGGGGAAUUAUUAUUUGACUGUAGCUUUAUAAACACAUAGUGAUGAAUGAGUUGUCAAUGACUAAUACACACGUACUACUAAAUGAGAGAAGGUGAGUGAGCAUCUACUAACUGCUACCUCUGCACAGACACACUAGGGCUCACAGUUUUUCUUGGUGGUGUUGUCAUCAGCCAGGUUGCUUUUCUAGGGUGAGUAAUGGCUCAUUGCAGGGUAUUAUACAUACCUAGGUUGUUGUAAACAAUGAAUAGAAUGAUGGUAACUUCUCACAGAUUAGGAUUGUAACAUGCAUUAUUUUGAUCAGAACUUUAUAAAAUCCACACUAAGGUAUCACUAAUCAGGUUAUUUACUAUGCAAAUGAGUCGCAUUGACUAAAUAAAACCCAUCAUCAAUCAA